CCUACGGGAGGCAGCAGUGGGGGAUAUUGGACAAUGGGGGCAACCCUGAUGCAGCGACGCCGCGUGGGGGAAGAAGUAUUUCGGGAUGUAAAGUCCUAUCCGCAGGGACGAAAGAAGACGGUACCUGACUAAGAAGCGCCGGCUAACUACGUGCCAGCGGCCGCGGUAAUACGUAGGGGGCGAGCGUUAUCCGGAUUCACUGGGUGUAAAGGGGGCGUAGGCGGGGCUGCAAGUCAGGUGUGAAAGCUCAUGGCUUAACCAUGGGACUGCAUUUGAAACUGUGGAGCUUGAGUGCUGGAGGGGCAAUCGGAAUUCCGAGUGUAGCGGUGAAAUGCGUAGAUAUAAGGAGGAACACCAGCGGCGAAGGCGGACUGCUGGACAGUAACUGACGCUGAGGCGCGAAAGCGUGGGGAGCAAACAGGAUUAGAUACCCGUGUAGUC
rnacentral:rRNA from 1 species